GAUGAAGAACGUAGUGAAAUGCGAUAAGUAAUGUGGAUUGCAGAAUUCAGUGAAUCAUCGAAUCUUUGAACGCAACUUGCGCUCUCUGGUAUUCCGGAGAGCAUGCCUGUUUGAGUAUCAUGAAAUCUCAACCAUUAGGGUUUCUUAAUGGCUUGGAAUUGGGUGUUGCCAGUCGCCUGGCUCGCCUUAAAAGAGUUAGCGUGUUUAACUUGUCUAUCUGGCGUAAUAAGUUUCGCUGGUGUCGGCUUGAGAAGUACGCUUCUAAUCGUCUUCGGACAAUUCUUGAACUCUGGUCUCAAAUCAGGUAGGGCUACCCGCUGAACUUAAGCAUAUCAAUAAGCGGAGGA
rnacentral:misc_RNA from 1 species